UCCAGUCACCUUGGGAGUCUUCCGGACCCGCGCCAGUUGUGUCGCACGAGGACUCAAGAGAGCAAGCGAGGGAAUUAGGAAGGGGCGUCUCCUCUCCUCCCGGCGGCUUCCCGCGCGGCGCGCUGUGAUGACGUAGCGCGGGCGGGCUGGCGACGGGGACCCGGAGCGAGGUUGACACUGGAGGUUGGCUGGUGGCGGCCAAAAUGGGAGUGGUGAUGAUGUUAAAUACUGUGAGGAUUUUCUUUUUUUUUUUUUAAGAUUUUAUUUUAUUUAUUUGACAGAGAACACAAGCAGGGGGAGUGGGAGAGGGAGAAGCAGGCUUCCCCGCUGAGCAGGGAGCCCGAUGCGGGGCUCGAUCCCAGGACCCUGGGAUCAUGACCUGAGCCGAAGGCAGUCGCUUAACGACUGAGCCACCCAGGCGCCCCUACUGUGAGGAUUUUCUGAGUUAAUAUGCACUAAGGUGGCCCACAGGAAGCACUCACUAAAUGUAAGCGACUGAUAUUCUGCCGGGAAAAUGGAUGGUAGGAUGGAAGGAGUGUUACUGGGGGCAAGUAAUUGUGAUGAUAGCAAGUAAUAUGUGACAGGCAUUGUCGUAAGUCACAAUUCUGUGAGGUAGUUCUUAUUAUUAAGGCUGCUUCUCAGAUAAGGAAACUGAGGUUACGCGACUUAGCCAUGUGACCUUGGGCAAGUUACUGAACAUCUCUGUGCUUCGGUUUCCUCAUCUGGCAAAUUGUGAUAAUAGUCCCCAGGGCUGGAGUGGACUCAAGGAGGGGAGUUUUUCUUGGACAGCAGUUCUCCCUCCAACCCCCUUCCCUGGGUAACCUCUGCCCCCAAACUGUAAUAGAAAGCAUGUGCCUGGGAAGUAGGGGGAGUUGCACCCGUGUGCCCCUCCAACUCCCUCACUCGCCUUGUCUCGAUGUCUAAAUAUCAGCCCCACAGGAGGCCGGUUUGCCCUCCUAAUCUCCCUUGCUCAUUCUUCACCAUUUCCUACCGGGCUGUAGGCUGGGGCUGAAGAGAUAAGCGGUCUGGGGUUCAGCAUCGCUGACUAACAAACAGAUUGACAGCCCCACUGCCCAGUAGCCUGGCCCUAUGACCCUUUUGAAAACCCCAGUUCCACCCUUCUCUUUCCUUCCACUCUUUUCCUACCGGGACAUUUUUUUUUUCGGUCCCAGUGGAAGAGGAUCAAGUCUUAAGACCUUUAAACCUCCAUGUGCACCAAAGAAAAUGUGAUACAGACUGAGGAACAUUCUGGGGUUGUGAUGCCUGCAGAGUAAUAGAGAAGGGAGCCCUUUAAGACCCAUGGCCCAUUUUUCUGUAUAAUGAGAAGACAGAUUCCUGAAGAGCAGAGGUCAGUAAACUUGUCUAUAAAGGGCCAGAUAGUAAAUAUUUUAGGCUUUGCAGGCCACAUAAUGGUCUCUGUGGCAUAUUCUUUCUUUUCCUUUAAAAAUGAAGAGCCAGCAGGGCAGCUGGGUGGCUCAGUCAGUUAAGCGUCUGCCUUCCGCUUGGGUGGUGAUCCCAGGGUCCUGGGAUUGAGCCCUGCAUCGGGCUCCCUGCUCAGUGGAGAGCCUGCUUUUCCCUCUCCCUCUGCUGCUCCCCCUGCUUGUGCUCUCUCUUUCUCUUUGUCAAAUAAAUAAAUAAAAUCUUUUUUAAAAAUGAAGAAACCAGGGGCGCCUGGGUGGCUCAGUUGGUUAAGUGACUGCCUUCGGCUCAGGUCAUGAUCCUGGGGUCCUGGGAUCGAGUCCCACAUCGGGCUUCCCUUGCUCUGCGGGGAGCCUGCUUCUCUCUCUGCCUCUGCCUGCCACUCCCCCUGCUUGUGCUCUCUCUCUCUCUCUGUCAAAUAAAGAAAUAAAAAUCUUAAAAAAAAAAAAAAUGAAGAGACCAGCUGAAGUCUGGCUUUGGCCUGAAGGCUGUAGCUUUCUGAUCCUGCUGUAGAAUGUCAGUCUUUGGUUUCCUUUAUCUGGCUGGGAUUCUUUUACAGGAUGAGUGCAGAGUUUCUAUGCUUCCUGAAGAGAGGUAUUCCCUUUGUGUAAGGACUGGGAUUCAUGGACAGGGUCAGGUCACUUCUGGUGUUUACGGGGUCAACCAGUGUUCCUGGACAGAGUGAGGAUAGGGAUUCCUGUAGUUUCUAUAGUUUUGUUCCUUUCCUGAACCAAACAGGGAUUUCUAUACAGGACAAGACAGUUGUUUCUGGAGAGCUCCAGACUAGGAGUUCCCAUACAAGUUCACGAUGAGGCUCCUUAGACUGCGUUAAGAGUUUCCUAUGGAGGGGUGCCUGGGUGGCUCAGUCAUUGGGUGUCUGCCUUCGGCUCGGGUCAUGAUCCCAGCGUCCUGGGAUCGAGCCCCACAUCUGGGUCCCUGCUCGGUGGAUAGCCUGCUUCUUCCUCUCCCUCUGCCUACUUGUGCUCGCUCUCUAUCUCUCUGUCAAAUAAAUAAAUAAAUAUCUUUUUUUUUAAAAAAAGAGUUUCCUAUGGAGGGGCGCCUGGGUGGCUCAGUCGUUGGGUGUCUGCCUUCGGCUCAGGUCGUGAUCCCGGGGUCCUGGGAUCGAGCCCCGCGUCGGGCUCCCUGCUCGGCGGGAAGCCUGCUUCUCCCUCUCCCGCUCCCCCUGCUUGUGUUCCCUCUCUCGCUGUGUCUCUCUCUGUCAAAUAAAUAAAUAAAAUCUUUAAAAGAAAAAGAGAGAGUUUCCUAUGAAGAGAUCAGGUGGUCCAGUUCAGGGUCAGCACAGGUGUUUCUGUACAGGUUCAGAGCUAUGUUAAUGUAGACAGUAGGAACAGGUGUUCAUGUCUAGAUUCAAUCAAAUUGUUACUAAUCGGGCUAAAUUUUUUUAAAGAUCUUAGUUAUUUAUUUAUUUAUUUGAAAGAGAGAGAGCAGGGGAAAGAGCAGAGGGAAAGGGACCACCAGACUCCAUGUGGAGUAUGGAGCCUGAUGUGGGGCUUGAUCUCACAACCCUGAGAUCAUGACCUGAGCAGAAAUCAAGAGUCAGACGCUUAACGACUAAGCCACCCACGUGCCCCUGGGCUAAAUUUUUUUGAAGAUUUUAUUUCUUGGAGAGAGAGAGCACGAGCAGCGUGAGAGGCAGAGGGAGAAGCAGACUCCCCGCUGAGCAGGGAGCCCGACGUGGGGCUCGAUCCUGGCAUUCUGGGAUCAUGACCUGAGCCGAAGGCAGAUGCUUAACCGACUGAGCCGCCCAGGCACCCCAAUUGGGCUAAAUUAUGCUAACUGCUGUAACAAACCCAGAAUUUUAGAGGAUUAACAAAUAAGUGUUUAUUUCUUACUCAUAUGAAGUCCAAUGUGUAUAUUUAUUACUGAUCAUUCAGGAACCCAGGCAACUUGCAUUUUGUGGCUCUGCUCUCCUCUGAAUCCUUGGAGUUCUCACUAUUGAGCUGGUAGAUGGGAAAAGAGAGAGUGAAGGAUUCCUUGAGAGAUUUUUAUGGACCAGGCUUGGAAGUGGUGUAUAUCACUUUGCCCAUACUCCAUUGGUCAGAACUCUGUCACAUGUCCACAUCUCACUGUAAAGGAGGUCAGAAAAGUGAGUGAGCUUAGGAGAACACAGGUUUGAAGAGCCUGUAGCACUGCCUGCUACAGGAUUCUAUAGACCCCACAGAGCUGUUCUGUCCAAUGUGGCAGCCACUAUCCACAGGCAGAAUAAUGGUUCCUGUACAGUAUGAGGGUGGGGCUUCUGGGACAAGGCUGGGGCCAGGGCUGUCAGACAGUUACAUCAGGACAUCCUGUUUGGGGUCAAGAGAAUGUUUCCAGAAAGCAAGGUUAGGAGUUCCUAUAAAGGAUCAGGCCAGAGAUUCCUGUGAGUGGAGUUAGGAUUUCUUGUUGAGAGGAAAAGGUUUUCUAUGGAGAGUCCAGUCAGAGGGUUCCAGUACAGUUGUAGGCAAGGCUUCCUGUAGGGGGUCAGGGCUGUGGAGCUAACACAUGGUAAAGAGAGGAAGCCCUGUACAGUGUCUGCGUCGGGGGUCCUGUGCCAGGUGAGGCCGUAGGUACCUGUAUAAGAUGAGGUCUAGGCUUCAAGUAGAGGAUCAGGACAGGCAUCCCUGCCACAGGGUCAGGAAAGGUUUUUCUUUUUUACUUCUUUUUUUUUUUUUUAGGGAAGGGUUGUAAGUUCAAGACUGAGGUUGGUGUUAAGAGUUGGAUUACAGGGGCGGGGGGGCGGGGCGGGCGGCGUGCCUGGCUGGCACAGUUGGUUAAGCAUCAGAUUCUUGGUUUCGGCUUAGGUUGUGAUCUCAGGGUCCUAGGAUGGAGCCCUGCAUUGGGCUUCAUGCUCAGCAGGGAGUCUGCUUAAGAUUCUCUUCCUCUUCCCCUGCCCCUACACCCCACCCCCUGCACUUGCUCGUGCUCUCUCCUCUGUCUCUCUCUCUCUCAAAAUCUUUUUUAAAAAAAAGAGUUGGAUCAUGGGUUCUUGUGGACUCUACAGGUUAGGGUGUGAGAUCAGGGAUUGUUGUGCAGAGUGACAUCAGGGGUCAUUGUCAACAAUGGAGGCAAGAGCUUCUAUAUUCAAUUGGAGUUCCUGAAGAGGUUGAGGAUGGAGUUUCUGCAGAGAGAGUAGGUCAGUGGUUCAGAACUAGAUUUUAUUGUGACAGAAGUGUUUCUAAAAUGCUAUCUGGAGGGCUGAGCUCCAGUACAGUGUGAAGACAGAAGUGUCCUGUCCAAGGUCAAGGCAGGAUUUCUGUAGAGAGAUUGAGACUAGUGAAGAGGCUCAGGACAGGUUUCUCUUUUUUAAAGAUUUUAUUUAUUUAUUUGAGAGAGAGAGAGCACAAGAUGUCCUUGAGGACAUCUGCUUACCCCUACUAUGUUCAGGAUCUGAGGCAGAGGGGCAGAGGGAGAGGGAGAAGCAGACUCCCUGCUGAGCAGGGAGCCCAACAUGGGGUUCUAUCCCAGGACCCUGGAAUCAUGACCUGAGCCAAAGGCAGCAGCUUAACCGAUUGAGCCACCCAGAUGCCCUAGAAUAGGUGUUUCUAAAGAGGUGGCACAAGGGCUUCCUUACAGUGUGAGCUCACAGAUUCCUAACUGGGCUAAGUCCGAGGUUCCUGUGCCAGGGGAGGACAGGGCUUCUUCCGAUGCAAGGUUAGGGCUGAUACUCCUGUCCAGGGUCAGCAUGGGUGUCCUGUUACUAAUUAGAGAAAGGGUUCCCUUAGAGUGUCAGGCGAGGGCAGCUGUUCUGGGAGGCAAGGGCUGGGGCUCCUGAGCAAGGGCCAGGCACAUGUCCAGCACAGGUUCUGAGAGGGGUUUCUGCUCAAGAUGCGGACAGGGGCUCCUAUAGGGUGAGAGGACUGGGGUUCUAUGGGGUGGCCAGGCAGGCAGGAGGCUUUUACAAAGACCAGGGAAGUUCUGGACAACCCCUGUAAUGAGCGUGGACUGCCGUGAUUCUGCAGCGGGCCAGCAUGGUGUUUAUGAACCAAAGCAACUGAAGCUUCCCAGCCAUUGCCCGGCCCAGAGUAAACACUCAGCAAAUGGGGCUGUUUGCUAUCAGGAGCUGCUGGGUAGUAUGGACGCUAAGCCACGGAGCCUGGCUUUUCCCCCUGUCUCCCGCUGUGUGGCCUCCAGCGAGCCACUUAACCUCUCUGUCACCUGACUCCACACAGGCUCCUAUGUAAGGGUUUUCCAUUUUGGAAGAACAGAUACCCCUCUGGGGCGGAGAAGUGGGCCCAGACGCUUUGCGGUUUCGAGUCUGGAUACCAUCCUUCCGCAUAGUCAGUGGUCGGUUCACCUGCCCAAAGGGAGGCCGUGAGUGUUUCCCAACUCCAGAUCUUUGCCUCUGUGUCUUGACCAGGGAGGCCAUCUCCAUCCCACCUCUUUAAGCAUAGAGAAUUGCUUCAGGGACUAGGGGAGCGUGACCCUGAUAUGGUGCGGGGAUUGUCCUAAGGAAUCCCAAGGUUGUGAGGCCCUGAGCUUGGGUAAGCCUCUGAGGCUGAUGGAGCUGCCUCAGGUUUCAGGGCAGAGGGAUGGAAGUUAGUGGAUGGCUGGGAAGGAGGAGGAAGGAGAUGGAGGAGGGAG